CUGAAAAGGUGAGAGCACUGUUGCCAGCCCUUUCAAGAUUUACCUGCACUCUAAAACCAUCGCACAGAAUGCCGGGGUUGAUCUAGCAUUUGCUUUUAUCAGAAUUCUGCACACUGAAAGGUUGGAGCAGGCUCCCCAGCCACUGCUUUGGUCCGGCAAAGGCCCAAGUAGAUGACCAUCAUAGGAGAAGUUGGGGGAGCAGCAAGAGAACUCACCUCUGCAGCAUCCAAAGCACCUUGGAUCUCUUUCAGGAGCUUCGCCCUGGACCUGCAGGUUUGGGCCUGCAAAGCGUUCUGCUGCAGGCUCUGCAGGGGACCCCCAGGCAAGCUGCUAAGCUGCUGAGCUGCUGUUGGCUCCAGGCAGAAGCUGCAGCACAGGAGUCCAUUGCUCAGCGCUUUGUGAUGCUGCUUCUGAGUAACAGAUGGCAGACAGUUACACAACACCGCCAGGCUUUUGAGAUGUGCAGCAACACCACACUGCUCACCACACUGCUGGGAUGCUGAGGUGCUUCAUUCCGACUGUUAGGCAUAUGGGGAAACUGAGGCCCUGGGGUGAAGACAGCUCCAUGCAGGACCUGGGAGAGUGGGAAUUUCCUUCCAAGAAUGAUUCGCUUCUCAAAUCAUUAUUUUGUCCUCUACUCAAGUUGGGAAGAUUUCCUGGGCCUACGGAAGCUGUCAAGGGAAUCCAGGUUUGCUCAUGGAAGCAGCCAGGUAGCAGCAGACUCUGUCUGUGAAGAGCAAGGGAUUCCUAACACCAGACUUCAAUCAUUCUUCCAACAACCUCUUUCUUUCACCCACAUAUCUACAGGGGCCAUGAAAGUAACAUGAAUCAGUGAAAUGGAAUAGGUUCAGGAGGAAAAAACAGCAUAACACCAUGACAACAAUGAAACUGAUAUUCAACCUUCAUGUUGAGGACACAGGAGGGAGCAUUGCAGUCCACACAGGACGAGCAAGGAAUCAGCUCCAACUCAUCAUUGCCAGUGCCAGUAGAGUGUUGUCAGAGUUUCCCAACUUCUCAACAGAAGCAUAAGUCCAGAUGAUGAUGUGAAACCUCCUGGAUUUUAACUGCUAUCAACUAGUUCAACAAUCCCUGCCACCAGCCCACCAAAACAUUGGAUGGGGUAAAUAAACAGGUCUGCAGUCCAAAUCCAGCCUGCUGCUUACCAGUUUGCAACCUCUACUUGAGCCACCAAUGUUUCCAUAAGCACUGAAGUUUUCCUGGUUUCCAUCUUCUAAUGUGGGAACAGAUUUACCCAGCUAGGACAAAGUGGAAAGAAUGCACCAGAUUAUAUUAGGAGGGGCCUUGGACCCUAACAUAGUUCAACACCCCUCAUUUUGUAAUUGAGGAAAGUGGAGCUAAGAGGAAUUGCAUGAACUGCCUGCAGCAGGGUGAGUUCAUUGGUAAAGUGUGGGCUAUAAUACAUCUACCUUACCCUACAUUGCUCCCAAGUGACAUCCUUCACUAGGUUUCACAGGACAAGUGAAUCAGGGAGCUGAGACAUUUCUGGAGGGGGUGGAGGGUAACUACUGCUAAGCCCAGAAGUUUCUAGGAAAUGUGCAAAACAAAGAACAAAGACACUGUGAGCAAGACUCCGGGUAGUUUGCUGUGAGGAAUACAAGUGAAUAAGGCCUAUUCCAGCUCUUCUAGAAGAUGUAAGCAGGUGAUUUGAUCAAAGACUUGAGUGUUAAAAGAUCUGGUCCUUCCUCUUGAGUUUCUGUUGAGUAAUGUUGAGUCCUAGAUAAAGGCAUUUCAGUCCACCUGAGAAAUAGCCACAUUGCAACAGGAAAGUUGUUUCUGCAGCUAUGCCCUGCACCUGUCUUCGGUUUCCCUCUAAGUGCUCUGCAAAUGUUAAUUAAACAUAGAUUAUUUGAGAAGUGCUUUUCGUGUUUGAACUCAACUGGGCUGCGCCAGAUGAUGAUAUUAAUAUCAUUCCCCUGUUGGCAGAAUGCUGUUUUUUAAAAUAAAAACUCUUUUCCUUUUACAGUUUUUG